UGCUUGGGAAUUUGCCUUUAGGUGGGGGACAACAGUUGGAAACGACUGCUAAUACCGCAUAUUGUCUACGGACUAAAGAGGGCUUCGGCUCUCGCCUUUAGAGAAGCCCAAGUGGGAUUAGAUAGUUGGUGGGGUAAUGGCUCACCAAGUCAGCGAUCCCUAGCUGGUCUGAGAGGAUGAUCAGCCACACUGGAACUGAGACACGGUCCAGACUCCUACGGGAGGCAGCAGUGGGGAAUAUUGGACAAUGGGCGGAAGCCUGAUCCAGCAAUACCGCGUGUGUGAAGAAGGCCUGAGGGU
rnacentral:rRNA from 1 species